rnacentral:rRNA from 1 species
AUUGAACGCUGGCGGCAUGCCUUACACAUGCAAGUCGAGCGGCAGCGCGGGGGCAACCCUGGCGGCGAGCGGCGAACGGGUGAGUAAUGCAUCGGAACGUAUCCUCGAGUGGGGGAUAACCCAGCGAAAGUUGGGCUAAUACCGCAUGAGCUCUGAGGAGGAAAGCGGGGGACCUGCGAGGGCCUCGCGCUGGAGGAGCGGCCGAUGUCCGAUUAGCUAGUUGGUGGGGUAAAGGCUUACCAAGGCGACGAUCGGUAGCUGGUCUGAGAGGAUGAUCAGCCACACUGGGACUGAGACACGGCCCAGACUCCUACGGGAGGCAGCAGUGGGGAAUUUUGGACAAUGGGGGCAACCCUGAUCCAGCCAUGCCGCGUGAGUGAAGAAGGCCUUCGGGUUGUAAAGCUCUUUCGGACGGAACGAAAUGGGCGGGACUAAUACUCCUGUCUGAUGACGGUACCGUAAGAAGAAGCACCGGCUAACUACGUG